rnacentral:rRNA from 1 species
AGUGAACGCUGGCGGUAGGCCUAACACAUGCAAGUCGAACGGCAGCACAGUAAGAGCUUGCUCUUACGGGUGGCGAGUGGCGGACGGGUGAGAAAUACAUCGGAAUCUACUUUUUCGUGGGGGAUAACGUAGGGAAACUUACGCUAAUACCGCAUACGACCUACGGGUGAAAGCAGGGGAUCUUCGGACCUUGCGCGAUUGAAUGAGCCGAUGUCGGAUUAGCUAGUUGGCGGGGUAAAGGCCCACCAAGGCGACGAUCCGUAGCUGGUCUGAGAGGAUGAUCAGCCACACUGGAACUGAGACACGGUCCAGACUCCUACGGGAGGCAGCAGUGGGGAAUAUUGGACAAAGGGCGCAAGCCUGAUCCAGCCAUACCGCGUGGGUGAAGAAGGCCUUCGGGUUGUAAAGCCCUUUUGUUGGGAAAGAAAAGCAGCAGGUUAAUACCCCGCUGUUCUGACGGUACCCAAAGAAUAAGCACCGGCUAACUUCGUG